GCAGCGGUGGUCUAGUGGUCAAGACGCCUCAGCUUUACCUUCUUGCAAACACAAGAGGCCAACGGACUCCACGUGCUUCGGCAUUGUAUUCUGAGCGCCAGCGGUUGAGGAGAUCGCAGGUCCGAAUCCUGCUCGCUGCA
rnacentral:tRNA from 1 species